GGAGAGAGUGGUGCAUAGGUGAAGAUAUUGGCGUGCCUCAAUCUAAUUACAUGGUUAAAUGAUAUGUUUUAGCCAAGUACUUUGGAUUGAGCCGCGUCAAUAUCUCCUUCAAUUAAUUUCACCUCUCUCUCU
rnacentral:pre_miRNA from 1 species